CUCUAAACCAAGAAGGACAGCUGCUUGCCACACGCGGAGGUGAUGUUUGAUUUUAGCUAUCAAGGAGGAGCUGGGACACUGGCAAACAGAAACAGGAAGAUAUCACUCAAUGAGUAUGAACAAUCAGCAAAUCCUCAACGAAGGCUACAAAAACCGAAUGAAUAUCACAGUCGUAAGUUCAUCAAAGAUCUGAAUGGACUCCAGUUGCCAUGCUGUGCAUCUUCGUGUUUUUCAGAGCCUACAUAACCUGUGAGUUAAAGAUUUAGCUACAAACGUGAAGGCUGAGUUAAUACCUAGUCUGCAGAAUUGUAUACUUGCCUGACAAAUUGGUGAAUCUACAGACUUGACUGGACGUGAUGUUUUGUUUGUGUUUGUUUGCUAUCAGCACCCACCAAUCAUCGAAGAUCUUCUUUUGUGUGAAUCCUUGGCAACAAACACAAGUGGUACUGAACUAUUCAAAGUAUUGAAUAACUUUUUUUGAAUUUCACGGUUUGUCCUGAAACAACUGUGCUGACAUUUUCACUGAUGGUACAAAAGCAGUAGUGGCUAAAAUUAGCACGAGCCAAGGCAGAAGCAUCAAACUGUACUUUUAGUCAUUGUAAUCUUCACACCACUACACACACACCCCAAAAAAGAACAUCUUGAUGAAGCAAUAAAAACUAAUAAUUUUAUUAAAUCUUGACCCUAAGUACAUAUAUUUUUAAUAAUCUGUAUGGAAAAAAUAGGAAGUAUAUGUAACACAUUUCUGCUUCAUACCAAAGUCUGAUGGUAGCUUAAAGAAAAGCCCUUAUGGGAUAGUUUGUUUUGUGAGCUAAACUACCCACUUUUUUCAUAGAACAUCAUUUUUAUUGGAAAGAAUCAUGGACAAACUAUGGUUAUUCUGACUUGAGUGCCUGACAGACAUUUCCUCACAAAUGAAUGAAGUAAACCUGUCACUUCAAGGAAAACAACUAACAGUAUUUGUUGACAAUGAUAAAACUCAAGCUUUGGAAAACUUGUAUCUGUUACUGUGAACUUAAUAGCUUUCCCAUACUGAAAGCUCUUCUGAUGAUAUCAAUAGCAAUAUUAAUGAAUGUGAUUUUUACAUAGUAUAAUGAAAUAUGUCUGCUUUUGGAAGAUAUGUCUAACUUAGUCAAUCAAUAUUUUUCAGUGACCAAUGCAUGAUUUUACAAAAUGCAUAGGUGAAAGAUCCAUUCAAAGUACAAGACAGACCAAUGGAUUUUAAUGUAACAAAAUAUGAAAAGUUCAUUGAUCUGGUUUCAGAUUCUACACCGCAACUAACGUUUAAAAAACUACCACUUUCUGAGGUGUGGUAUAGUAUCAAAGAAGAAUAUCCACAAUUAUGUGUGUGAAGCCAGAUUUUCUUCAUAUACUUCAACUAAAACAACAUAUUACAACAGACUGAAAGCUGGGAGGAUCCAGUUGUCUUCUUAUCAUGCCAGACAUUUGAGAGAUUUACAAAAGUAAAUAAAAUAAUACCACUCUUCCCACUAUUUUUUUCUUUAG